GACGAACGCCGGCGGCGUGCUUAACACAUGCAAGUCGAGCGGUAAGGCCCUUUCGGGGGUACACGAGCGGCGAACGGGUGAGUAACACGUGGGUGACCUGCCCUCAGCUCUGGGAUAAGCCCGGGAAACUGGGUCUAAUACUGGAUAUGACUCCACGGUGCAUGCCGUGGGGUGGAAAGCCUUGUGCGGCUGAGGAUGGGCCCGCGGCCUAUCAGCUUGUUGGUGGGGUGAUGGCCACCAAGGCGACGACGGGUAGCCGGCCUGAGAGGGCGACCGGCCACACUGGGACUGAGACACGGCCCAGACUCCUACGGGAGGCAGCAGUGGGGAAUAUUGGACAAUGGGCGAAAGCCUGAUCCAGCAAUGCCGCGUGUGUGAAGAAGGCCUGGCGGGUUGUAAAGCACUUUCAGUGGGGAAGAAAAGCUUGGUGUGAUAGCGCCGAGUCUUGACGUUA
rnacentral:rRNA from 1 species